UUUAAACAGUCGUUUGUUUCAGAAAAAUCACCAUCCAGUGAAACCAAAAGAGCAGCUGCAACAAUGUUCACGUUUUAAUAAAAAAAAAAAGAAAAGUGCUUUGUGGAACUUUUUUUUUUGGAAGAAAACCUGAAGAAUCUGCAUUUUUCUUCUUGCACUAGAAAGUUGCGCAUGAAAUUGUGUAAUUCGGUGUCUCUCUGCCGUUUCCCCAUGGGAACAAGUCCAAACAAACAUUAGUCAUGAGUCGCAUCAGCCGGGCCUUGACACAUACUGAGGACACACCCAGCACCGCAGCCUGCAGAGAUUCACGCAGGGUUUUACGACGUUCCCUCCUGCGCGGCUUCACCUGUGGGCUCACACGAAAAGCUGUGAUUCAGCCAUUUCCACUGGGAAAAACUGAGAAACAUAACCAGGAGCGGCCUCUUAUCUGGUUUUACUCUUAGUGUUGAUUUUAACCCCUUUUGACUUUGUUGCUAAAACACCAGAAUCUGAUACUGUUUGAGCAACUAACUUAAGCUUCAGUCCAUUUUGAAGCUAAGUCACAGAUUGGUGAUGGCGCUUCUGAUUCUUUUUUUGUUGUCUAGUCAAAUUUUGUUUAAUAAAAAGUUGACGUCGUGGUAGUGACCUGAAACCAUUACCUUUUUGUUCGUUUGUUCGCUUAUAUUAAUGUUAGAGAAACUGACAUCUUAUUAAAAUGUCAAUAUUGUUUUUGGAGUAUUUAUUGGUUUGUUUUGUGUUUUAUUUUUUAUUAUACACAGCAGAACUAAAACCAGAUAAUUAUACGCACUGUGUAAAAAGACAGACUCUUUCUGAUGACCAUUAAAACAACAACAAAAAAAACA